rnacentral:antisense_RNA from 1 species
UUUGGCGUUGGCCUUGCGGGCCAUAAUGCCGUUUCCAACCGCAUGUAAUAAGUGCGUUUUACCCAGACCGGUGCCGCCAUA